UAGGGAAUUUUCCACAAUGGACGAAAGUCUGAUGGAGCAACGCCGCGUGAACGAUGAAGGUCUUCGGAUUGUAAAGUUCUGUUGUCAGGGACGAACAAGUACCGUUCGAACAGGGCGGUACCUUGACGGUACCUGACGAGAAAGCCACGGCUAACUACGUGCCAGCAGCCGCGGUAAUACGUAGGUGGCAAGCGUUGUCCGGAAUUAUUGGGCGUAAAGCGCGCGCAGGCGGCUAUGUAAGUCUGGUGUUAAAGCCCGGGGCUCAACCCCGGUUCGCAUCGGAAACUGUGUAGCUUGAGUGCAGAAGAGGAAAGCGGUAUUCCACGUGUAGCGGUGAAAUGCGUAGAGAUGUGGAGGAACACCAGUGGCGAAGGCGGCUUUCUGGUCUGUAACUGACGCUGAGGCGCGAAAGCGUGGGGAGCAAACAGG
rnacentral:rRNA from 2 species